GAUGCCAUUCCAUUUUGUUGCCAUGUGACAGAUGGCAGCAGAAGGUUCCACUGAUUUCAACACAUGGGUGCCAAUCACACUACCAGAGGACAGGAGCUGGUCAAGGAAGACACUGGGUCAAGGGAGCUGGCAAUAUGUUCUCAGGCAGCACCCUUCUCAAUUCUUCUGAUCCAGGUGAAGGACUUGGGAAGCAUAUCUGUCACAGCAGAACCUAAAAUCCUGAAACAAUAUGGGUUGGAAAGGACCUUCAAAUGUCCAAUGCCUGACUCAAAGCAGGCCCAUUUUGAUCAGGCUGCCCAGAAGCUUGUCUAGUCAAAUCUUAAAAACAUCCAGAACUUUUGCUAAGUAAUGUUUCUGCAAUUGACAAAUCUCAUGGCUAAAAAAAUAACUCUUGUCUAACUUGAUUUUUUUUAUGCUCCUGCUUGUGUUUGUUGCGUCUCAUUAGUGUACACCUUUGAAAGUGUCUGUUGUCUUUAUCCUGUGAUCAAGUAAUUAUAAGCAAUAAGGUGUCCCUUUAUCUUUCUCUCCUUAAGCCUGAACAGGCUCAGUUAUCUAACUGUUUUUAUGUCGUCCUCCAGCUGUUUUACUGUCUUCAUAGCCUACCAUUAUACAUACCCGCUAUGUCCAUAUCUGUAUUGGAAUGCUGAGCCUAAAACAGAACAAAGCACUUGAGAUGUGGUCUUCCAAAUGCUAAGCAGAAGGGAAGAAUCACUUUCCUAAACCUUCUUGUUGCAUUCUUAUUGAUACAGUUCAGGAUGCGUUAGGCCGCCUUUGCUGUAAGGGUGCACUGCCAAUUUGUGUUGACAAAUGCACAUAUUCAUUUUCCCAACAAAAUGCAACUGUUGCUUAUUCUUUGUGACCUGUUCAAAUUCUAGUAAAAUAAAAACUGAAACCAGGUUUUAACAGCAGAAAUUGGAACGACUGAAAUAGUGGGAAGGGAAAGAUGUUUAAAUGCUAAAUCUGCUCCUUUUCUAUAGCUUAUUUAUAUAGAAUGAAAGAAAAUUGUGGUGUGCUUGAAUGUCAUGAUGAAUAAUGACUUUUUUCACAGGGAAUUAAGCUUUUCAAACUAAAGAAUGUGAGUCAGUACAGUACAUUUAAUCAUGAAGCAACUUAAUCAUCCACAGUAGUGAUUUUUUUUUUCCUUGAUUAAGGAUUGUAGGGUGUGGUUGUUUGUGUGAUGUGUAGUAGUCUUCUCUGCAGAGGUUUAUGUUACUAUGAAUCAGGAAUACUGACGUGCUACUGACAUGUUUCACCUCCAACUUUCAAGAAUUACAACUCUAUUUUCUCCUUGGCUAGCUAAGACAUGGGAAUGGCAGAAACAGGGCUGAUUAAGGUCUGUCAUGGAUGUGUGCCUUUGAUCUCUCUGAGAGAGACAGUCAAAAUAUUCAGUAUGUGAAGAAUUGUGUAGUGUUAAAAUAACUUGACAUAGGUCAGAGUCAUUUUCACUGAAACAUAAAUGGGCUUUAGAUCAGGAUUUUGGCUUCAGGUAUACAGAUAAAGCAAGAAUUUUAAGCUCACAAAUAGAAUUAUAUGAAAACUGCAGACAUAAUUAAUACUUUCUCAUAGUAACUUACUCUGUCUCUGAUAAAAUCCAUCAAGAACAUUGCCUGUAUAGAUGAUUUUUCACUCUUAAUAUUUUGUCUUGCAGCUGUAAAACCCAAGGUCUUUGCAUAAUUUCUUUGCAAAUACACUACAUUUCCCAGAAGUAAUAAAGAGGAAAAAUGUA